rnacentral:rRNA from 1 species
AACGAACGCUGGCGGCAUGCCUAACACAUGCAAGUCGAACGAGACCUUCGGGUCUAGUGGCGCACGGGUGCGUAACGCGUGGGAACCUGCCCUUAGGUUCGGAAUAACUCCCCGAAAGGGGUGCUAAUACCGGAUAAUGUCUUCGGACCAAAGAUUUAUCGCCUUUGGAUGGGCCCGCGUUGGAUUAGCUAGUUGGUAGGGUAAAAGCCUACCAAGGCGACGAUCCAUAGCUGGUCUGAGAGGAUGAUCAGCCACACUGGGACUGAGACACGGCCCAGACUCCUACGGGAGGCAGCAGUGGGGAAUAUUGGACAAUGGGCGAAAGCCUGAUCCAGCAAUGCCGCGUGGGUGAUGAAGGCCUUAGGGUUGUAAAGCUCUUUUACCCGGGAUGAUAAUGACAGUACCGGGAGAAUAAGCUCCGGCUAACUCCGUG